rnacentral:rRNA from 1 species
GAUGAACGCUGGCGGCGUGCUUAACACAUGCAAGUCGAACGAUGAAGCCCAGCUUGCUGGGUGGGUUAGUGGCGAACGGGUGAGUAACACGUGAGCAACCUGCCCCUGACUCUGGGAUAAGCGCUGGAAACGGCGUCUAAUACUGGAUAUGUCCCGUCACCGCAUGGUGUGCGGGUGGAAAGAUUUUUCGGUUGGGGAUGGGCUCGCGGCCUAUCAGCUUGUUGGUGAGGUAAUGGCUCACCAAGGCGUCGACGGGUAGCCGGCCUGAGAGGGUGACCGGCCACACUGGGACUGAGACACGGCCCAGACUCCUACGGGAGGCAGCAGUGGGGAAUAUUGCACAAUGGGCGGAAGCCUGAUGCAGCAACGCCGCGUGAGGGAUGACGGCCUUCGGGUUGUAAACCUCUUUUAGCAGGGAAGAAGCGAAAGUGACGGUACCUGCAGAAAAAGCACCGGCUAACUACGUG